CCUACGGGUGGCAGCAGUGGGGAAUAUUGCACAAUGGGGGAAACCCUGAUGCAGCAACGCCGCGUGAGUGAGGAAGUAUUUCGGUAUGUAAAGCUCUAUCAGCAGGGAAUAGAAAGGAAGGUACCUGAAAAAGAAGCCACGGCUAACUACGUGCCAGCAGCCGCGGUAAUACGUAGGGGGCAAGCGUUAUCCGGAUUUACUGGGCGUAAAGGGAGCGUAGACGGAAAGACAAGUCAGAUGUGAAAAACAAAGGCUUAACCAUGGGACUGCAUAUGAAACUGUCUAACUAGAGUACGGGAGAGGUAAGAGGAAUUCCUAGUGUAGCGGUGAAAUGCGUAGAGAUUAGGAGGAACACCAGUGGCGAAGGCGACUUACUGGACCGAAACUGACGUUGAGGCUCGAAAGCGUGGGGAGCAAACAGGAUUAGAUACCCUAGUAGUC
rnacentral:rRNA from 1 species